rnacentral:lncRNA from 1 species
UUAUCAUGAAAUUUACUGUUCAUAUAAUUUUAUAUCAAUUUAAAAAUUUCGACAGUUAUCUUAUUUUAUAUAAAAAAUUUUACAUAAUUUUUUUUUUUUUUCAAGGGAAACCUCCUACUAGUUGCACGCUACCCGCUUCGUUUAUUUCAUUUAGAAAUAAACUUAGCUAGAAAUGUGAAUCAACUAAAAUUCGAACUUGGGACCUCGGGUAUCAAUCACCAAGCCGUUUACCACAUGCUCUAGGACGGUCGGUAAGACAAUG